CAAUGCUGACGAGUCCCGAACAGGACGAAACAGCUGUCCAGUGC
rnacentral:hammerhead_ribozyme from 1 species